UAUAUGUUGGUUACUGAAGUACUUUCAGUCA
rnacentral:piRNA from 1 species